GGGAGUAUAACUCAAUGGUAGAGUGAGUGCUUAGCAUGCAUGAGGUCCUGGGUUCAAUCCCCAGUACCUCCA
rnacentral:tRNA from 1 species